CAUGCAAGUCGAACGAGAACGGCUCUAGCUUGCUAGAGUGUCAGCUAAGUGGCGGACGGGUGAGUAAUGUAUAGCUAACGUGCCCCUUGGAGAGGGAUAACAGUUGGAAACGACUGCUAAUACCUCAUACUCCUUCUAUGUUAAUCAUAGUUGGGAAAUGUUUUUUCGCCAAGGGAUCGGGCUAUAUGGUAUCAGGUAGUUGGUGGGGUAAGAGCCUACCAAGCCAAUGACGCCUAGCUGGUCUGAGAGGAUGAUCAGCCACACUGGAACUGAGACACGGUCCAGACUCCUACGGGAGGCAGCAGUGGGGAAUAUUGCACAAUGGGGGAAACCCUGAUGCAGCAACGCCGCGUGGAGGAUGACGCAUUUCGGUGUGUAAACUCCUUUUAUAUGGGAAGAUAAUGACGGUACCAUAUGAAUAAGCACCGGCUAACUCCGUGCCAGCAGCCGCGGUAAUACGGAGGGUGCAAGCGUUACUCGGAAUCACUGGGCGUAAAGCGCGCGCAGGCGGCUUUGUAAGUUGGAUGUGAAAGCCUACGGCUCAACCGUAGAACUGCAUCCAAAACUACUUAGCUAGAGUCUGGGAGGGGAAGAUGGAAUUAGUUGUGUAGGGGUAAAAUCCGUAGAGAUAACUAGGAAUACCAAAAGCGAAGGCGAUCUUCUGGAACAGUACUGACGCUGAGGCGCGAAAGCGUGGGGAGCAAACAGGAUUAGAUACCCUGGUAGUCCACGCCCUAAACGAUGAAUGUUAGUCGUCGGAGGCCUAGUGUCUUCGGUGAUGCAGCUAACGCAUUAAACAUUCCGCCUGGGGAGUACGGUCGCAAGAUUAAAACUCAAAGGAAUAGACGGGGACCCGCACAAGUGGUGGAGCAUGUGGUUUAAUUCGAAGAUACGCGAAGAACCUUACCUGGCCUUGACAUUGAGAGAAUCCGGUAGAGAUACUGGAGUGCCUUCGGGAGCUCGAAAACAGGUGCUGCACGGCUGUCGUCAGCUCGUGUCGUGAGAUGUUGGGUUAAGUCCCGCAACGAGCGCAACCCUCGUCACUAGUUACUAACGGUUCGGCCGAGGACUCUAGUGAGACUGCCUUCGCAAGGAGGAGGAAGGUGAGGACGACGUCAAGUCAUCAUGGCCCUUACGGCCAGGGCAACACACGUGCUACAAUGGGCAGGACAAUGAGACGCGAUACCGCGAGGUGGAGCAAAUCUAUAAACCUGUUCUCAGUUCGGAUUGUAGUCUGCAACUCGACUACAUGAAGU
rnacentral:rRNA from 1 species